UACGGAGGGUGCAAGCGUUGUCCGGAAUCACUGGGCGUAAAGGGCGCGUAGGCGGCUCAUGAAGGCUGUGGUGAAAGUCCGGGGCUCAACCUCGGAUCGGCCGUGGCGACUCGUGGGCUGGAGCACUGUAGAGGCGGGUGGAAUUCCGGGUGUAGCGGUGGAAUGGGUAGAGAUCGGAAAGAACACCAACGGCGAAAGCACUCUGCUGGGCCGACACUGACACUGAGAGACGAAAGCUAGGGGAGCGAAUGGG
rnacentral:rRNA from 1 species